GUAUUGGGAACCUACGUGCGGCAGCUACCCUGUAGCUACCCUGUAGCUCCUUAAAGACAACGGCGGAGACGUGGAGUCCUCUGAGCUUAGUAACUUUUCUAGCUUCUGAAGGCGCCGCGGCCCCUGCCGUAAAACCCCCAACUUUUAGUGGUUGACCUCGGAUCAGGUAGGAAUACCCGCUGAACUUAAGCAUAUCAAUAAGCGGAGGAAAAGAAACCAACAGGGAUUGCCUUAGUAACGGCGAGUGAAGCGGCAACAGCUCAAAUUUGAAAGCUGGCCUUCGGGUCCGCAUUGUAAUUUGUAGAGGAUGCUUUUGGUGAGGUGCCUUACGAGUUCCCUGGAACGGGACGCCUUAGAGGGUGAGAGCCCCGUACGUUUGGUUACCGAGCCUCUGUAAAGCUCCUUCGACGAGUCGAGUAGUUUGGGAAUGCUGCUCUAAAUGGGAGGUAAAUUUCUUCUAAAGCUAAAUACCGGCCAGAGACCGAUAGCGCA
rnacentral:rRNA from 1 species